rnacentral:rRNA from 1 species
UACGAAGGGUGCAAGCGUUACUCGGAAUUACUGGGCGUAAAGGGCGUGUAGGCGGUUUGUUAAGUCUGGCGUGAAAGCUCUCGGCUAAACCGGGAGAGGUCGUUGGAUACUGGCGAACUAGAGGAUGGUAGAGGCGUGUGGAAUUCCGGGUGUAGUGGUGAAAUGCGUAGAGAUCCGGAGGAACACCAGUGGCGAAGGCGACACGCUGGGCCAUACCUGACGCUAAAGCGCGACAGCAUGGGGAGCAAACGGG